AUGUCAGGAUUAUUCCAUCAGAGGGGAAGCUGAUGGGAGCUACCGGGUCAACUUGCUCCUAGAGGCCUCUUACACCUACCUCCCUGGCUGUGCACUCUUCCAGGAUGUACAGAAACCAUCUCAAGAUGAGAAGAUGAGUGGGGUGAAACCCAGGAGGCUAUGGGUGCUGCCUAGGUUCUGGAGAAGAACCUGAAUCAGGCCUUUAUGGAUCUUCAUUCCCUGGGUUCUGCCCGCACAGAUCCUCAUCUCUGUGACUUCUUGGAAAACCACAUCCUGAAUAAAAAAAAAGAUGGACAACAACCUGACCAACCUCCAUAGGAUGGCUGGGCAACAACAAACAGACUGGUGUGCCCCAGACAUCUCUGGCUACAUACCUCUUUGAGUGGCUCACUCCUAAGCACG
rnacentral:lncRNA from 1 species